UAAGCAGAGGUGGCACCGAAGGGAUGGCCCAGGGCAGGGAGGCCACCUGCCCCACCCAGUACCUCCCUGAGUCCCUGCACUUCCCCUUCUAGCAUGAACCACAAAGGUCAAAGUUCAGAGUUCAUGGGUUAGUGCACAAGCUGCACCACUUGGCUCCCAUUGCCUGGCACAGACCUGAGCGCAUCCUCAGGGGCCUCUGCUUGAGGUGAGGGGGUGAAGACCGUGUCAGCCGACCUGGAGUCUGGAGGCCAUGGAGACCUGAUGAGCAGGGACACAGCCACUUCUCUGCAGAGACCGCCUGGGCUGAUGGCAACCGCAGACCAGAGGCCCCUCCCAGCCCCCCAAGAUGGAACAUAAGGUGUCCUCCUCCCUGCAUUUAGGGCAGGUCAGGGAUACAGGAAGGAGAAGGGGCCACAGGCAGCCUUUUGAACUGACUACCAAACAAUACUAAAAAGCAUUCUGGAAGCCACUCACUUCUUAGGAGAUGACAAAAGUUAGUUUCCUCCUCUGGACGUGGAAGCUUGAAAAUGAAGAACGGUGGCAAUGACAUUUUUGCCUGCUCCUGUAGUCUAGGAAACUGGCUACUGCUUCAUGAGGACAGUCUUGCAGGGGGUGGCAUCGGCCAAGGGCUGCCAUGGAGUGGGGUGUGCCCAGCGUCCACAGUCCAUUACUGUGAGGGGAGAACAGAUGUCAUGACAUCAUGGCCCAGUUUGUCUCUAUUCAGGCAUUUUGGUGCGUCCUCCUAAUGAGAAUGGUAAAAUCAGAGAAAGGCGGGAAUCCAGGGAACCUAGACUAUUAGUGACCCAUUUCUCAGAGGAGGAGACUGAGGCGGGGUGGAGGGAAACAUGGCCAAGCCAGGCCUGGGCUGAGUGGGGCCCAGCUGGUUCUCGCCUCCCACCCCUUGGAGCCAGAAGAUGCUGCUUCUGGCCCCAGCAGCUCUAAUGCCUGGUGUUCUUUUCUUCUGCACCCUGUGCCUCCUACCCUUCCCCUGCCAUGUUAUAGCCACAGCGUGGGGACUCCGAGGAGGACAGCCCUGCCACCUGCUUCCCCCCAGGGCCUCUGGGCUCCUCCAGGGAAGGUGUCUCACCCCCUCAGGAAGGGGCUGGUCAGUUGGGGUGAAGGUCUGUGAGUGUCAGCGUGGGAAGGAGCUGAAGACGUGGUCCGACAGGCAUUCCUACUCCGGGACCUUCCUCGAAAUUACCUGGAAAACCUAUGGGAACCCCCACACCCAAGUCCAGCUGCCAGAUGGUGUCUGGACUGCUCGCGUGUAGACAGCGUGGUGGUUCACAGCGUGGCUCUGACAUCAAAUUCAAGUGCCUCAUAAUCCUGGAUGGUCAAUAAAACCAGUGUCCAAUAUGAUGUACUCAGUGCCAUCAAGAGGACCAGUCGUAGUGGGCUGCAACACACAGAAGCCUUCCGUCUCCAGUGAGCUACAUGCAGCACCAGGCACAGCGUGCCUGGCAUAAUAUCCAGCCGAAUGCACGUAGCUGGUCUGCCAGGCAGCUCUAUCACCCCCAUUUUACAGAUGAGAAAACAGAGGCUCAGAGAAGUUAGGUGCAGUGCCAGCCAUCACAUGGUAGCGAGAGUGAGCGCCAGGUCCACAGCCGGGCCCGUCUGGCCCGAUGCGCCACAGCCUUCAGGCUGCAGUUCCCACGGCCCCUCCCUCCUUAUGGGUGUUUUCCGGGCGACCUUGCUUCUGGAUUCUUGACCUCCGGUUUUACGGCUGUUUCCUAUGUGGUGGUUAUUGCCGCUGCUUCCAUCCUCAGGGUUCUCCUGGCGAGCGGAGCUCCCUGCCUAACUCGGACCCUCAUUCUAUGGCCUGGGCAGGCUUCUUCCCCUCGUGCCUUCCAGCCCCUCAUGUGCAGAAGCAGGCCGUCCGGCAGAUGACCCGAGACCUCCCAGCCGUGCCUCUGUGCUCGUGGAGGACAUGUGACAGAGAGAAGGAAGACAGGCCGGCUGACGGGGGAAAAGCUGGGGUGGGAGGCCGUCAGCCUUGAGCUCGCCUUGGGCUCAGGGAUGCGACGUGGCUUCACGCUUUACAAGAAGCUCAAAGAAAUCCUGUGUGGAAAACGUCCUCUCAGUGUCCCGGAGGUGGGAUGGAUGUGGUUGUGCAGAGAGGUGGGUGAACUGGCGCCAACUAAAGGUCAAAAGCAAGCCGGCCUUAACCUUAACCGCGGCCCCUGGUGUUUAAGAAGGGACCGCCAGCACCCCUCCCCUGACCACCCAGCGCACGUCACAGCCUGAGACGUAGCCAGGGCCCCUGUGCUGUCCCUCAGCCCCAGGGGGCUUGCUAACACCUCUGCUUCCAGGUGACAUGCACCUGUCCUCACCAGGCCUCCCAGGAUGGCUGGCCAAUGGCGCAGAGAGUCAGGCCGACGAGUCCCUGGGCAGGGAGACCACGCCCCUUCAGGACCAGACGGUCCUUGAGGAGGGUCGCGCUCU